AAAGCGGAGGAAAAGAAACCAACAGGGAUUGCCUUAGUAGCGGCGAGUGAAGCGGCAAAAGCUCAAAUUUGAAAUCUGGCUCUUUCAGAGUCCGAGUUGUAAUUUGAAGAAGGUAUCUUUGGGUCUGGCUCUUGUCUAUGUUUCUUGGAACAGAACGUCACAGAGGGUGAGAAUCCCGUGCGAUGAGAUGAUCCAGGCCUAUGUAAAGUUCCUUCGAAGAGUCGAGUUGUUUGGGAAUGCAGCUCUAAGUGGGUGGUAAAUUCCAUCUAAAGCUAAAUAUUGGCGAGAGACCGAUAGCGAACAAGUACAGUGAUGGAAAGAUGAAAAGAACUUUGAAAAGAGAGUGAAAAAGUACGUGAAAUUGUUGAAAGGGAAGGGCUUGAGAUCAGACUUGGUAUUUUGUAUGUUACUUCUUCGGGGGUGGCCUCUACAGUUUAUCGGGCCAGCAUCAGUUUGGGCGGUAGGAGAAUUGCGUUGGAAUGUGGCACGGCUUCGGUUGUGUGUUAUAGCCUUCGUCGAUACUGCCAGCCUAGAUCUGAGGACUGCGGUAUACCUACGCAAUGCAAUCGG
rnacentral:rRNA from 1 species